rnacentral:misc_RNA from 1 species
GGAAGUAAAAGUCAUAACAAGGUUUCCGUAGGUGAACCUGCGGAAGGAUCAUUAAUGUGUUUGGGCCUCACGGCUCUUCAUUCCGACGCUGUGCGCCUUCGGGCUGCACGCUGAGGGAGCAUAUAUCCACCCCUGUGCACACACACGGUGGCGAGCUGGGUAACGGCUCGCCGCUGAUCUUUACACACGUCUAAAAGUCAUUGUAUGUUUAUUUGAGAUAAAAACACAACUUUCAGCAACGGAUCUCUUGGCUCUC